rnacentral:lncRNA from 1 species
CUGAUAUACGUUGAUGAUUUGUCCACUCUGGCCGAGAUGAUAUGUUGGGAUGCCCUCAGAGGCUUGAUGAUGUUAUAAACGCAUAUACCCAUGCAUGGUAUGACAUUUAUACGCAUAUGCACGACAUUAUAAUAUUAAAUGAUUCACAGAGUUAUUCAUAUAUACAUGUUGAGUCUUUUACUCCAUGUUUCUCUCAUGUCUACUAGUUACUGAUUUUCAUUCCUUACAUACUCGGUACAUUAUUUGUACUGACGUCCCUUUUGUCUGGGGACGCUGCGUUUCAUGCCCGCAGAUCCUGAUAGACAGGUCGAGAGUCCUCCAAGUAGGCUAUCAGCUCAGCGGAAGGUGUUGGUGCGCUCCAUUUGCUCCGGAGUUGCUUCUUUGGUGAGUAUGAUUAGUACAUGUAUUGAUUGGUAUGUCGGGACCCUAUCCCGACCUUUAUGAUAUUAUGUAUUCUUAGAGGCUUGUAGACAGAUGUCAUGUAUACGGGUACUUGUAUGGCCUUGUCGGCCUAUGUUUUGUGUAUAUACAGAAACAUGCCGGUCUUAUAGGCCCGUACUUCAUAUGUAUAAGUUUG